rnacentral:rRNA from 1 species
UACAGAGGUCCCAAGCGUUGUUCGGAUUCAUUGGGCGUAAAGGGUGCGUAGGCGGCGCGGUAAGUCGGGUGUGAAAUCUCGGAGCUUAACUCCGAAACUGCAUUCGAUACUGCCGUGCUUGAGGACUGGAGAGGAGACUGGAAUUUACGGUGUAGCAGUGAAAUGCGUAGAUAUCGUAAGGAAGACCAGUGGCGAAGGCGGGUCUCUGGACAGUUCCUGACGCUGAGGCACGAAGGCCAGGGGAGCAAACGGG